UGGGGAAUUUUGGACAAUGGGCGAAAGCCUGAUCCAGCAAUGCCGCGUGUGUGAAGAAGGCCUUCGGGUUGUAAAGCACUUUUGUCCGGAAAGAAAUCCUUGGCUCUAAUACAGUCGGGGGAUGACGGUACCGGAAGAAUAAGCACCGGCUAACUACGUGCCAGCAGCCGCGGUAAUACGUAGGGUGCAAGCGUUAAUCGGAAUUACUGGGCGUAAAGCGUGCGCAGGCGGUUUGCUAAGACCGAUGUGAAAUCCCCGGGCUCAACCUGGGAACUGCAUUGGUGACUGGCAGGCUAGAGUAUGGCAGAGGGGGGUAGAAUUCCACGUGUAGCAGUGAAAUGCGUAGAGAUGUGGAGGAAUACCGAUGGCGAAGGCAGCCCCCUGGGCCAAUACUGACGCUCAUGCACGAAAGCGUGGGGAGCAAACAGGAUUAGAUACCCUGGUAGUCCACGCCCUAAACGAUGUCAACUAGUUGUUGGGGAUUCAUUCCUUAGUAACGUAGCUAACGCGUGAAGUUGACCGCCUGGGGAGUACGGUCGCAAGAUUAAAACUCAAAGGAAUUGACGGGGUCAAGCUG
rnacentral:rRNA from 1 species